UACAGAGGUCCCAAGCGUUGUUCGGAUUCACUGGGCGUAAAGGGCGCGUAGGUGGCGGGGUAAGUUUGAUGUGAAAUCUCCGGGCUUAACCCGGAAAUGGCAUUGAAUACUAUUCUGCUGGAGGUUUGGAGGGGGGACUGGAAUUCUCGGUGUAGCAGUGAAAUGCGUAGAUAUCGAGAGGAACACCAGUGGCGAAGGCGGCUCUCUGGGACGGUACUGACGCUGAGACGCGAAAGCGUGGGGAGCGAACAGG
rnacentral:rRNA from 1 species